AAAAAGGAGCCGUUAGUUAGAUAAAAAGGACUGAAUGAUCCGAACCGAAAAGAAGAUCAUAUUAUAAUUUUAUACAUCCCGGUGGAUGAAUGAAUGUGAUUGGUGGGUGUGCUGCCUGCCCUUGUUUUCUAUUUGGUCCCCUUCCGAUCCCACCAUCUCACCACCACUAACUCCAAUUUCUUUCAUCUUUUAUCCUUAAUUAAUAACAGAAAAAUUCUCUUCCGAUGCAAAGUAAAACUAUCAGUGUGUGUAUUGAUGAUGCAAAGAAGGUUGGCAGGCAGAGCCACAAGUUUUUAUCUGCCUAUUCUAGCUUCUUCCCAACCGUUUAACUUGAACAUUCCCAGCAGAUUGUCCAUGGCAGCUGCACCAUGCUAUCUGAUCAGCGAAUACCCAGAAGAGAACCAGCUUUUAGAAAUCGACAGCCCUCCAUAAUUAAUGCAGCCAAUUCUUAUGCAAUCACACUAGCUGAUAUUUUCUUUCAUCGAGGUCGUGCAAAAUGCAUAGAUAUCUCAUCUUUAAUGCUGCUUCUGUUUCCUAUUCUGUGUAAAUCAGUUGCUUCGAUAAUGAGGAAAAUGUCUCUUGCCAAUAUCUGUUGAUGUGGAGUUCCACCAGAGGGAAAAGCGUCGUAUUAGUGUCAGGGAUAGGUUGGGAAAGCAAUGCGAUGGUGUAUCUUUGGGAAGCAAAACCGUUUGAGGUUUGUGGUAGUUCGGAUACAGUCUAUCAGAAGCAGGAAGAGCUUGACCAGCGCAAAAGAGUGCUUCCCGUUUUAAACAAUGAACUUAAAGGGGCAUGACUGAAGGAGUUCCUAGCUAGCAUUGAUAACAUCCAGCCUGAGAGCAGGAAAUAAUAAUAGACGAAACGGACACUUUGGCGAAAUUUGUACGGACCUUGAUGCUUUGGCCAGCGGUAAAGGGAAGGAGCUUCAGUGCCAAGACUUUUCACAAAAUUCCAAGAGGUUGAGCUUGUUCAAAGAAGAUUCUAAAGCUACUCCAUAUUUGGUUUUGGAAACAUUUGAUCAGUGUGUUGAAGCAUAAGGCCUUCGGUGUUGCGGAAAGUGAAACAGAAA